rnacentral:rRNA from 1 species
GUGGGGAAUAUUCCGCAAUGGACGAAAGUCUGACGGAGCAACGCCGCGUGAGUGAUGAAGGUUUUCGGACUGUAAAGCUCUGUUGUUUAGGACGAAAGUGCCUGUUGCAAAUAGUUACAGGUAUUGACGGUACUGAACGAGGAAGCCACGGCUAACUACGUGCCAGCAGCCGCGGUAAUACGUAGGUGGCAAGCGUUGUCCGGAAUUAUUGGGCGUAAAGAGCAUGUAGGCGGGAAUCUAAGUCUGUUGUGAAAAUGCGGGGCUCAACCCGGUAUUGCGAUGGAAACUGGGUUUCUUGAGUGCAGGAGAGGAAAGGGGAAUUCCCAGUGUAGCGGUGAAAUGCGUAGAUAUUGGGAGGAACACCAGUGGCGAAGGCGCCUUUCUGGACUGUGUCUGACGCUGAGAUGCGAAAGCCAGGGUAGCGAACGGGAUUAGAUACCCUAGUAGUCC